GAUGAACGCUAGCGGCAGGCCUAACACAUGCAAGUCGAGGGGUAACAUAGGAAAGCUUGCUUUUCUGAUGACGACCGGCGCACGGGUGCGUAACGCGUAUACAACCUACCUUUUAGCGGGGAAUAGCCCAGGGAAACUUGGAUUAAUGCCCCAUAGUAUAUAGACUUCUCCUGAAGUUUAUAUUAAACAUUUAUGGCUAUUAGAUGGGUAUGCGUCCUAUUAGUUAGUUGGUAAGGUAACGGCUUACCAAGGCAGCGAUAGGUAGGGGUCCUGAGAGGGAGAUCCCCACACUGGUACUGAGACACGGACCAGACUCCUACGGGAGGCAGCAGUGAGGAAUAUUGGACAAUGGGCGAGAGCCUGAUCCAGCCAUGCCGCGUGCAAGAAGACUGCCCUAUGGGUUGUAAACUGCUUUUACAGAGGAAGAACCACCCCCACGUGUGGGGGUUUGACGGUACUCUGCGAAUAAGGAUCGGCUAACUCCGUG
rnacentral:rRNA from 1 species